rnacentral:lncRNA from 1 species
UCUGGAGAGUUCUCUCAACUACUCCCUUUCUCUCUCUUAUUUCUCUCACUAUAUCCUUCAUGUUCUUCAGCUUAAUCUUCACGUUUUCAUGGUAUCAAAGCCGGAUGAUCUUCGGAUCCUUCUCGGUUGCGUGUUAUCGAUCCUGUUCGAAGCUUUUGCUGAAGUUUUUUUUAUGGUUAUUGGUGAGAGAUACUGUUUGGAGAUGUUUCAACGAAUAUUGAGCGGAUAAUCGUAGCUUUCCUGUUAUUCAAGGUUCCGAUCUUGUAUCAGUGGGUGUUUUGGGUAAUUUUCCGGCAUCGUCUUCGCUUGAUAGACGUUUUGGGUAACUUUCCGGCGUUUGUGACCUUAUUCCGGUGAGUUUCAGAACCUACGGUUUCCGGUGUUGGACCUAGGGUUUUCUCUGUUGAUUGAAGGCCGAUCUUCUCCCGUCGCGAAGAAGGAGGGUAACUCUGUCCUUAUUUUGAGUAUUGUAUGCUUUGUAUGUGAGUAUCUGGUUCCGUUAUAUUUUGCUUGCCAAAACUCCGGUCGCGAAGAAGGAGGGUAACUCUGUCCUUAUUUUGAGUAUUGUAUCCUUUGUAUGUGAGUAUCUGGUUCCGUUAUAUUUUGCUUGCCGAAACUGUUUUCCUUUCAAGCUGGUUCAUUAAUCAUGGCUUCUAAUACGAAUGUUGGUACCUCCUCGGUAGACUCUACCAGCCCCCUUUUUGUCUACUCCUCUGAUGUUCCUAGUGUCUCUCUUGUCCCCACUCCCUUCUCGGGCAGUGAUUAUGGGGGUUGGAGGAGAAAAAUAAUUGUUGCGUUAUCUGCUAAAAACAAAAUUGGUUUUGUUGAUGGCACGUGCUCCCGGCCAGUCACUAAUGUGGCUCAACAAAGGUUAUGGGACAGGUGCAAUAAUAUGGUGAUUUCCUAGUUAACUGCCUCCCUCUCCCCUCAAAUUGCUGAAAGUGUGCAGUAUUCUGAUACUGCACAGAGUAUAUGUUCCCAGCUUCAGGUCAGAUAUGGCACUGCCAACAGGACCAAAAUUUUUGAAUUAAAAAGAGAGCUUUCUCACACCUCUCAAGGGUCCCUAGAUGUAGCUUCAUAUUUUAAUAAACUGAAAGGUCUGUGGGAUGAAUUAGAAUCAAUGUGUGCCAAUCAUAGCCAAAGAUGUGUUUGUGCUGCCAAAGAUGGUAUAAUACAGGAAAAUGAUGAAAAUAAGGUAUUUCAGUUUCUAAUGGGCUUUAAUGAAGCCUACAUGGGGGUAAGGAGUAACCUUUUGAUGAUGCAGCCACCUCCAACCCUUAACAGUGUCUAUAAUAUGGUCCUCAAUGAUGAGAAGCAAAGACAAGUCCAGUCUCCUUCUCACUUUUUGAUGAUGCAGCCUUCUCCAACCCUUGACAAUGUCUAUAAUAUGGUCCUCAAUGAUGAGAAGUAAAGACAAGUCCAGUCUCCUUCUCACUUUAAUCCAGACUCUGUGUCUUUCAAUGUCCAUACUAAUAGGUAUUCAGUUGGAUUUAAUAAGGCCACAUUGCCUAAUACUUCUCCUCCUUUCAGACAAAGAGUCAACUUUGAUCAAGGCAGAGGGCCUUUAUUCUGCAGAUACUGUAAGAAAUCUGGACAUUUAAUUGAUAAGUAUUUCAAGAUUCAUGGGUAUCCACAAAGUACAAAUUUUAACAAGGGGAGGAGACCUGAUGCUGCUCAUCUUACUGUUGGUGUGGAUUUCCCUCAUUCUGAUGGACAUAUGUCUGUUCCCCAAGGGAAUCCUCCUGAAAGCCAUCAAUCUGUUCCAAAAGUAGAUGGCCAGAGUUCUGUGAUACCUGGGUUGAGCAGACAACAGUAUGAUCAAUUGAUGAGCUUAUUACAACAGACCCAGUUAGGGGACUCCACUGCUCAGACUCCUCCUCCCAUGUA